rnacentral:rRNA from 1 species
AUAGCGUAUAUUAAAGUUGUUGCAGUUAAAAAGCUCGUAGUUGAACUUCAGACCUGGCUGGACGGUCUGCCUAACGGUAUGUACUGUCCGGCUGGGCCUUACCUCUUGGUGAGCCGGCAUGCCCUUCAUUGGGUGUGUUGGGGAACCAGGACUUUUACCUUGAGAAAAUUAGAGUGUUCAAAGCAGGCUUAUGCUCGAAUACAUUAGCAUGGAAUAAUAAAAUAGGACGUGCGGUUCUAUUUUGUUGGUUUCUAGAGUCGCCGUAAUGAUUAAUAGGGAUAGUUGGGGGCAUUAGUAUUUAAUUGUCAGAGGUGAAAUUCUUGGAUUUAUUAAAGACUAACUUCUG